CCUACGUGGGACAGCAGUGAGGAAUAUUGGUCAAUGGGCGGAAGCCUGAACCAGCCAAGUAGCGUGCAGGAUGACGGCCCUACGGGUUGUAAACUGCUUUUAUACGGGAAUAACGCGCCUUACGUGUAGGCCUUUGCAUGUACCGUAUGAAUAAGGACCGGCUAAUUCCGUUCAAGCAGCCUCGGUAAUACGGAAGGUCCGGGCGUUAUCCGGAUUUAUUGGGUUUAAAGGGAGCGUAGGCCGCAUGUCAAGCGUGCUGUGAAAUGUCCGGGCUCAACCCGGGCCUUGCAGCGCGACCUGGCGUGCUUGAGUCCGCGGAAAGCAGGCGGAAUUCGUCGUGUAGCGGUGAAAUGCUUAGAUAUGACGAAGAACCCCGAUUGCGAAGGCAGCUUGCUGCAGCGGAACUGACGCUGAUGCUCGAAAGCGCGGGUAUCGAACAGGAUUAGAUACCCGGGUAGUC
rnacentral:rRNA from 1 species